AGACUCUUGCCUUCCUGAGACUUUCUUAAGUGAGCAGAGGAUGCAUCACAGGCAGGUUAUGGAGGCACGCGAAAAAUCACUGAGGCUCUGUCCUGUCAGAUGGUCUCCUGCCCUGCAAGCAAUGUGACAUCCACUACAACUAGAUAGGGAUGGUAAGGAAGAAUGUGUGCUGAGGUUGCGAGAAACAGUGACUCUCUGGGCACAGGUCUUCAGAUCUUGGCGGACACAACACAUGACUUAAUUUUACUGCUGGGAAAGGUUUUCUGGGAGCAGUGUCCUGGGAAUGAUGUCCUCCAUUAUCAAUAUAGGCCAUUCAUUUAACCCUUGUUCUGUUGUUUCUUCUGGUGUUCUUACACACAAACAUCCAUUCGUAGUUCUCUAUACCAUUCUUAUUUGCAGAGAUUUGUAAUAGAAUUAUCUUUUUUAAAAUCAUAUUAGUAUGAAUGUAUAUUCCUCUUUGCCAUGACUCAGUCAUCGUACUGACGAAUAGACACAAACUGUUUAUAUCUGAAAGUCACACCAGCAUGCCAAUAGAAACAUUGCCUUAAUCUGAACUGUAGUCAGCAAUUUUGAACAAGGCAUUGCUGCCAGAUGGUCAGAUAUCAAUUUAACACUCAAACUAGAUAUGUCAGAAAGUUGAAACUAAUCAAUAAAACUAUUUA